GUGGAUUAGAUACCCUAGUAGUCCACGCCGUAAACGAUGAGUGCUAAGUGUUGGAGGGUUUCCGCCCUUCAGUGCUGCAGCAAACGCAUUAAGCACUCCGCCUGGGGAGUACGACCGCAAGGUUGAAACUCAAAGGAAUUGACGGGGGCCCGCACAAGCGGUGGAGCAUGUGGUUUAAUUCGAAGCAACGCGAAGAACCUUACCAGGUCUUGACAUCCUUUGACCACUCUAGAGAUAGAGCUUUCCCUUCGGGGACAAAGUGACAGGUGGUGCAUGGUCGUCGACAACU
rnacentral:rRNA from 1 species